UAAAUACUUUAAAAUUAAAGAAUUUGGCGGUGAUUUAAUCUUAUUAGAGGAACUUGUUUUAUAAUCGAUACACCACGUAUAAUCUUACUUGUCUUAGUCAAGAAACAGUUUGUAUACCGUCAUUAUCAGGAAAUUCUAAAAGGAUAUAAUUUCUGUAUAUUAUUAAUUAUUUAAAUUAGAUCAAGGUGCAGCCAAUAGACAAGUCAAAAUGAGUUACAAUAAGUUAUCUUAGGACGAAAUAAUAAACGAAACUUUAUUAUGAAGGGGGAUUUAACUGUAUUUCAAUUUUAAUAAGUUUGAGAGAAAUAAGCUCUAAAUCAUGUACAUAUCGCCCGUCGCUUCCAUUAAUUGAAGGAAUAAGUCGUAACAUAGUAGGUGUACUGGAAAGUGUAUCUAGAACUAAAA
rnacentral:rRNA from 1 species